rnacentral:ncRNA from 1 species
GUCCGUACGAACAACCAAUAGGUAGGCUUGGAAGCAGCCAUCCUUUAAAGAAAGCGUAAUAGCUCAUUGGUCUAGUUUUUUUGCGCCUAAAAUGUAUCGGGACUAAA